CCCUGUGACAUACCUAUACGUUGCCUCGGCGGAUCAGCCCGCGCCCCGUAAAAAGGGACGGCCCGCCCGAGGACCCCUAAACUCUGUUUUUAGUGGAACUUCUGAGUAAAACAAACAAAUAAAUCAAAACUUUCAACAACGGAUCUCUUGGUUCUGGCAUCGAUGAAGAACGCAGCAAAAUGCGAUAAGUAAUGUGAAUUGCAGAAUUCAGUGAAUCAUCGAAUCUUUGAACGCACAUUGCGCCCGCCAGUAUUCUGGCGGGCAUGCCUGUUCGAGCGUCAUUUCAACCCUCAAGCUCAGCUUGGUGUUGGGACUCGCGGUAACCCGCGUUCCCCAAAUCGAUUGGCGGUCACGUCGAGCUUCCAUAGCGUAGUAAUCAUACACCUCGUUACUGGUAAUCGUCGCGGCCACGCCGUAAAACCCCAACUUCUGAAUGUUGACCUCGGAUCAGGUAGGAAUACCCGCUGAACUUAAGCAUA
rnacentral:rRNA from 1 species